rnacentral:rRNA from 1 species
UACAGAGGGGGCAAGCGUUAUUCGGAAUUAUUGGGCGUAAAGGGCGCGUAGGCGGCCUGGCAAGUGGAAGGUGAAAUCCCUCGGCUUAACCGAGGAACUGCCCUCCAAACUGCUUGGCUUGAGACCGGGAGAGGUGAGUGGAAUUCCCAGUGUAGCGGUGAAAUGCGUAGAUAUUGGGAGGAACACCAGUGGCGAAGGCGGCUCACUGGACCGGUACUGACGCUGAUGCGCGAAAGCGUGGGGAGCAAACAGG